rnacentral:rRNA from 1 species
UACGUAGGGUGCAAGCGUUGUCCGGAAUUAUUGGGCGUAAAGAGCUCGUAGGCGGUUUGUCGCGUCGGCUGUGAAAACCCGGGGCUCAACUCCGGGCCUGCAGUCGAUACGGGCAGACUAGAGUGCGGUAGGGGAGACUGGAAUUCCUGGUGUAGCGGUGAAAUGCGCAGAUAUCAGGAGGAACACCGGUGGCGAAGGCGGGUCUCUGGGCAGUAACUGACGCUGAGGAGCGAAAGCGUGGGGAGCGAACAGG